rnacentral:rRNA from 1 species
UGGGGAAUUUUGGACAAUGGGGGAAACCCUGAUCCAGCCAUCCCGCGUGUGCGAUGAAGGCCUUCGGGUUGUAAAGCACUUUUGGCAGGAAAGAAACGUCAUGGGUUAAUACCCCGUGAAACUGACGGUACCUGCAGAAUAAGCACCGGCUAACUACGUGCCAGCAGCCGCGGUAAUACGUAGGGUGCAAGCGUUAAUCGGAAUUACUGGGCGUAAAGCGUGCGCAGGCGGUUCGGAAAGAAAGAUGUGAAAUCCCAGAGCUCAACUUUGGAACUGCAUUUUUAACUACCGGGCUAGAGUGUGUCAGAGGGAGGUGGAAUUCCGCGUGUAGCAGUGAAAUGCGUAGAUAUGCGGAGGAACACCGAUGGCGAAGGCAGCCUCCUGGGAUAACACUGACGCUCAUGCACGAAAGCGUGGGGAGUAAACAGG